CCGAACGGGCAGCACAGAGGGAGCUUGCUCCUUGGGUGGCGAGUGGCGGACGGGUGAGGAAUACAUCGGAAUCUACUUUUUCGUGGGGGAUAACGUAGGGAAACUUACGCUAAUACCGCAUACGACCUACGGGUGAAAGCAGGGGACCUUCGGGCCUUGCGCGAUUGAAUGAGCCGAUGUCGGAUUAGCUAGUUGGCGGGGUAAAGGCCCACCAAGGCGACGAUCCGUAGCUGGUCUGAGAGGAUGAUCAGCCACACUGGAACUGAGACACGGUCCAGACUCCUACGGGAGGCAGCAGUGGGGAAUAUUGGACAAUGGGCGCAAGCCUGAUCCAGCCAUACCGCGUGGGUGAAGAAGGCCUUCGGGUUGUAAAGCCCUUUUGUUGGGAAAGAAAUCCAGCCGGCUAAUACCUGGUUGGGAUGACGGUACCCAAAGAAUAAGCACCGGCUAACUUCUUGCCAACAGCCGCGGUAAUACGAAGGGUGCAAGCGUUACUCGGAAUUACCGGGCGUGAACCGUGCGUAGGUGGUUGUUUAAAUCUGUUGUGUAAGCCCUGGGCGCGCCCCCGGAACUGCGCUGGAAACUCUGUCUCUCGAGUGUGUUCUCAGGGGGCGGAAAUUUUCCCGUGUCACC
rnacentral:rRNA from 1 species